GACGAACGCUGGCGGCGUGCUUAACACAUGCAAGUCGAGCGGUAAGGCCCUUUCGGGGGUACACGAGCGGCGAACGGGUGAGUAACACGUGGGUGACCUGCCCUCAGCUCUGGGAUAAGCCUGGGAAACCGGGUCUAAUACUGGAUAUGACUCCAUGACGCAUGUUGUGGGGUGGAAAGCCUUGUGCGGCUGAGGAUGGGCCCGCGGCCUAUCAGCUUGUUGGUGGGGUGANGGCCUACCAAGGCGACGACGGGUAGCCGGCCUGAGAGGGCGACCGGCCACACUGGGACUGAGACACGGCCCAGACUCCUACGGGAGGCAGCAGUGGGGAAUCUUGCGCAAUGGGCGAAAGCCUGACGCAGCGACGCCGCGUGAGGGAUGACGGCCUCGGUCGUAA
rnacentral:rRNA from 1 species